AGGGACAGAGGUAUCUUCUAACAAGUGUACUCUCCCAAGACCUUAGGAGAGUGUUCUGAACAGGCAUAUUUUCUAAUGGCAUAGUAACAGACAAGGUGAAAAAGAAAAACUAAAUCAAGACAGCCUGCAUUGACACCACCAAUUUCUGAUACUUUCCCAAAGUCUGUAGUACUGUCCAACCUCUACAGAUGUCCUCCAAGAUAUGAGACAAUAUUCUUUGAACAAGAGGAUAAUAGCAAUCGAUUGACUGAAGAGCUUUACAGCAUGUUAACGCCUAUCAUUGGUCAAUGGAAUCUUUGUAUGUACAGAAGAAGACCUGGAAAGCAAAGUCUCUGUCACCCCUUCCCUGAAUUUCCUAACCAGUAGCUGCUCUGAAGGCUCAUCUGACAUGCUGGUGAAGAAGAAUUAAAAAAUCAAACAUCCCACUCAACCAUCCAAGAACACACAGAUAAAUUUCUUAUGGAGACGUUAGCCAGGACAGAAAGCAGGAAUCUGGGAGUGUGUCUGAAGGAUUUAUCUCUACUACAGAAUGCUACUCCUAGUUAGUCCAUUCGCUUAGUUGAGCCUUAAAUCAAUACUACCAACAUCAUCAAAAUUUACAAACACUGUGGGGUGUAUGGCAUUCUAUGAUAUCAUCACUAUCAGGAUUAAUUAGGCAUCAACAUUAUGAGGUCCACAGAAUUAGGCCCUGAGCCUUAGAGAUGACUUUCCUUCCCUAGAUCUGUCAAGCUGAGCCUGAGAAUUCAUGAAGAUGUAAUGCAAAGAACCACGUAUUGUGAAGGAAUUCAGAUACUUCUUCCUAACCAUACUGUGACUAAGGUUAUGGAGACAGGCAACUACCUUCUAGAAUAUGUCUGUGCAUGUACAAUCUGCCUUAAUAUAUUUACUUUUUAUCACUUUUGCUUCAAGUGGUAAUAGAUACUCCAGGAAACAAAAACUGGUGUUAUUUUAAUUUUGAUUCCUACACUUCAAAACUUUAGUAGGUAACAAUCAUUCAUAUUUGUAAUCUCACCAUAUGAGAAAAGUAUUUUCAUCAUUUUGGGCUAGCAUUUGGCUAUAUCAAUUAGAUAUAGAUAAAGCACCGAGAUGAGAAGCAGCUGAAUAAGCAUUUGAAUAUUUUAUCAUAAAUAGAAAUCAAUCAUAUUCAUU